rnacentral:hammerhead_ribozyme from 1 species
AUCCAGCUGACGAGUCCAAUCUAGGACGAAACGUACGUCCUGGAU